AGCUGAGGAGGCAAACUGCUCCAAAAGUAAAUGCCGCCUGGGGACUUGGCUGGGAGUUAGACAGACGUGUUGCAGAGCCAAAGUGUAAAUCUAAAAUUUUGAAAUAAAUUUCAGAAUUUUCCUCAGAAAAGCUUGGCUACCAGGAGGUCUGACUGUAAUGCCAAUGCCAGAAGAGGCAGAAAAAACUGGACUGAACUUCAACAAGAAAGAUGCUCCCUGAUUGCCAAUGAUUGACAAGCCUGGCUUCAGUCCCACACCUUCAACACAACAGAACAGCUAUGAGAAAAAGGCACCUACUACUAAAAAAUACAGAAGUUCAGUGGGUGGAAUAACAACUAUGCCGAAAGCUAGAAUUAUGACUCCUAGGAAGUUUGGAGUACAACUUUGGAGCCUGAUAAGGAGUGAGUGUGGAACAGAGUAGCUGGAACACUUCACAAGGUAACUGGCAUCAUGCUGUGGCAUAGAUGAGGAGGAUGGACAUUAAAUGAAAGCAAUUAAAAAGCAUUGCAUUCAAAUGUGCGACUAUUAUGCCCACACUGCAGGAGACAGCAGGAGGCAGUGAAUCAUCCAACAUUUAAAUCAACACCCCCUUAAAACAAAAUGUAUUCAGCUCAACGUGGGUAUCUCCAACGGGCUCCAAAAGUUCUGACAAUGCGUGACAUGGGUUA
rnacentral:lncRNA from 1 species